CCUCAACCCUGCACCUAGCCUCAACCCUGCACCUUAACCCUGCACCUAGCCUCAACCCUGCACCUAGCCUCAACCUAGGCCUGGUAACAGGUAACUCAUGACAAUAUCUGUGUGUAGGAUGGGUUGCAUUUAUGCAACAACAAACAAACAGUUUCAAAGUGCUUUGCUGAUGUUGUAUCAUGUCUGCGUUGUGGAGGUUGUAGUGAUGUUGUAUCAUGUCUGUGUUGUGGAGGUUGUAGUGAUGUUGUAUCAUGUCUGUGUUGUGGAGGUUGUAGUGAGGUUGUGAUGUUGUAUCAUGUCUGUUGUGGAGGUUGUAGUGAGGUUGUGAUGUUGUAUCAUGUCUGUUGUGAAGGUUGUAAUGAUGUUGUAUCAUGUCUGUGUUGUGGAGGUUGUAGUGAUGUUGUGGAGGUUGUAGUGAUGUUGUAUCAUGUCUGUUGUGGAGGUUGUAGUGAGGUUGUAGUGAUGUUGUAUCAUGUCUGUGUUGUGGAGGUUGUAGUGAUGUUGUAUCAUGUCUGUUGUGGAGGUUGUAGUGAUGUUGUAUCAUGUCUGUGUUGUGGAGGUUGUAGUGAUGUUGUAUCAUGUCUGUGUUAUUUAGGUUGGGGGUGUUGUUCACUCCUCUGCUUCCUGCUGUACAGAUCAUCAAACUACUGCUUCUCUUCUACAUGAAGCAGGUAGGUUCUCCUCUGUUCUGAUCACUGUGCCAUGAUCACACUGGUAACUUCUCUUCUACAGGAAGCAGGUAGGUACACCUCUGUUCUGAUCACUGUGCCAUGAUCAUACUGGUAACUUCUCUUCUACAGGAAGCAGGUAGGUACACCUCUGUUCUGAUCACUGUGCCAUGAUCAUACUGGUAACUUCUCUUCUACAUGAAGCAGGUAGGUACACCUCUGUUCUGAUCACUGUGCCAUGAUCAUACUGGUAA
ensembl:lncRNA